AGGAAAUAGAUGACACUUCCUUGUGUCUGUUGGUUUGUCAGCCAUGCAGCAUCACUGAGGAUCUCUUUCAAUCCUGGUUCCUGAAGUUCAGGAGAGAAAACGUCUAUUGUGAACAAAGAUGGACGAUGCCGCUCCACGUCCUCUCCAGACCUUCCAACCGGCAUCGCCGACAGAGUAUCGAGGUCGUGCCAACACGUUCUCGACCAAUCACGAGCUGUUCAUGGCCGUCAUCCAGAUGCAGCUGAACCUGGGGACCAGGCUGAGGCUCGUCCUGCAGCCAGUCACAGGCUGCCAAGGCUCAUGUCGGCUGGACGGAGGCCAGUUUAACCCCCCUGCCUCCAACUCAAUGCUCCGGGCGUCGUCACGCAGCAAAUGUUGAUCUGCUUGUGUUCACUCUCUUGUUCUUUUGUUGAGCACAAAGCAGACGGAGAAGUUAAACACAAAUAACGGUUCAGAAUAAAAUAAA